GACCAUUCAGGUGGCCUAGUGGUUAGAGCGUCCGCCUCGGAUACGAGAGGUCGCGUGUUCGAACCCCGACCGAGUCA